AGAGCGAACGCUGGCGGCAGGCCUAACACAUGCAAGUCGAGCGGCCGUAGCAAUACGGUAGCGGCAGACGGGAUAGUAACACGUGGGAACGCGCCCUUCGGUUCGGAAUAACUCAGGGAAACUUGAGCUAAUACCGGAUACGCCCUUACGGGGAAAGAUUUAUUGCCGAAGGAACGGCCCGCGUCCGAUUAGCUAGUUGGUGAGGUAAUGGCUCACCAAGGCUCCGAUCGGUAGCUGGUCUGAGAGGAUGACCAGCAUCACUGGGACUGGGACACGGCCCAGACUCCUACGGGAGGCAGCAGUGGGGAAUAUUGGACAAUGGGCGCAAGCCUGAUCCAGCCAUGCCGCGUGGAUGAUGAAGGCCUUAGGGUUGUAAAGUCCUUUUAACGGGGAAGAUAAUGACGGUACCCGUAGAAUAAGCCCCGGCUAACUUCGUGCCAGCAGCCGC
rnacentral:rRNA from 1 species